rnacentral:rRNA from 1 species
UACGUAGGGGGGCAAGCGUUGUCCGGAAUUAUUGGGCGUAAAGAGCGUGUAGGCGGUCCGGUAAGUCAGCUGUGAAAGUCAAGGGCUCAACCCUUGAAUGCCGGUUGAUACUGUCGGGCUAGAGUCCGGAAGAGGCGAGUGGAAUUCCCGGUGUAGCGGUGAAAUGCGCAGAUAUCGGGAGGAACACCAAUGGCGAAGGCAGCUCGCUGGGACGGUACUGACGCUGAGACGCGAAAGCGUGGGGAGCAAACAGGG